rnacentral:lncRNA from 1 species
UUUGUUUUUUUACAUGCCAAUUUGCCAUAGAAAGAUGAUGCUGAAAAUUAGAGUCCGAAGCAAGGUAAUAAAUUGUCCCAACUUUAUAAUUCUAAAAUUACUUGGAGCUCAUGUAAAUUUUUCACUUUGGGCCCAGCAAUGUGUCUCAAGAUCCUGGCAAAAAACUUUAGUCUCAGUGGAGUAUUUAAUUGAAUUGAAUAUAAACUACUGGAAUUACUCUUAUUUAAUUGGAUAUAAAAUGCAGAAUAAUUGUAAUAUUGUUAAGAAAUAAGACAACAGCAGAUUGAUUAUCCAACAGCACUAAAUUAAUCACUAGAAAAUGAUUGGGAGGAGACCAAUUGAUAAACAUCUCUAAUUCCCAGAAUGACUUAAGUCAAAUGAUCAUGAUUUUUCAUUUGAAUGGUGAAGGAAGUUCCCAGUGAAAUAAGCAUAUGCAGUCACAAUAAUUAAGAUUCAAGACGAAUCUUUGAAUUCAGUUGAAGUA